rnacentral:rRNA from 1 species
UACAGAGGUCUCAAGCGUUGUUCGGAUUCAUUGGGCGUAAAGGGUGCGUAGGCGGCGCGGUAAGUCGGGUGUGAAAUCUCGGGGCUUAACUCCGAAACUGCAUUCGAUACUGCCGUGCUUGAGGACUGGAGAGGAGACUGGAAUUUACGGUGUAGCGGUGAAAUGCGUAGAUAUCGUAAGGAAGACCAGUGGCGAAGGCGGGUCUCUGGGACGGUACUGACGCUGAGACGCGAAAGCGUGGGGAGCAAACAGG